GUGGGGGAUAUUGCGCAAUGGGCGAAAGCCUGACGCAGCGACGCCGCGUGGGUGAUGAAGGCCUUCGGGUCGUAAAGCCCUGUCGAGGGGAACGAAACGGUCGCGCCCGAAUACGGCGGGGCCCUGACGGUACCCCUAAAGGAAGCACCGGCUAACUCCGUGCCAGCAGCCGCGGUAAUACGGAGGGUGCGAGCGUUGUUCGGAAUCACUGGGCGUAAAGGGCGUGUAGGCGGUCCACUAAGUCUGAUGUGAAAGCCCGGGGCUCACCCCCGGAAGGGCAUUGGAAACUGGUGGACUCGAGUCCCGGAGAGGAGGGUGGAAUUCCUGGUGUAGCGGUGAAAUGCGUAGAUAUCAGGAGGAACACCGGUGGCGAAGGCGGCCCUCUGGACGGUGACUGACGCUGAGACGCGAAAGCGUGGGGAGCAAACAGGAUUAGAAACCCGGGUAGUCC
rnacentral:rRNA from 1 species